rnacentral:rRNA from 1 species
UACGUAGGCAGCGAGCGUUGUUCGGAGUUACUGGGCGUAAAGAGUGCGUAGGCGGUUUUCUAAGUUUGGUGUGAAAUCUCCCGGCUUAACUGGGAGGGUGCGCCGAAGACUGGAAGGCUAGAGUAUGGGAGAGGUAAGCGGAAUUCCUGGUGUAGCGGUGAAAUGCGUAGAUAUCAGGAGGAACACCGGUGGCGAAGGCGGAUCUCUGGGCCAUUACUGACGCUGAGGAGCGAAAGCGUGGGGAGCGAACAGG